rnacentral:rRNA from 1 species
GACGAACGCUGGCGGCGUGCCUAAUACAUGCAAGUUGAGCGCUGAAGGUUGGUACUUGUACCAACUGGAUGAGCAGCGCACGGGUGAGUAACGCGUGGGGAAUCUGCCUUUGAGCGGGGGACAACAUCUGGAAACGAAUGCUAAUACCGCAUAAAAACUUUAAACACAAGUUUUAAGUUUGAAAGAUGCAAUUGCAUCACUCAAAGAUGAUCCCGCGUUGUAUUAGCUAGUUGGUGAGGUAAAGGCUCACCAAGGCGAUGAUACAUAGCCGACCUGAGAGGGUGAUCGGUCACAUUGGGACUGAGACACGGCCCAAACUCCUACGGGAGGCAGCAGUAGGGAAUCUUCGGCAAUGGACGAAAGUCUGACCGAGCAACGCCGCGGGAGUGAAGAAGGUUUUCGGAUCGUAAAACUCUGUUGGUAGAGAAGAACGUUGGUGAGAGUGGAAAGCUCAUCAAGUGACGGUAACUACCCAGAAAGGGACGGCUAACUACGUG